rnacentral:misc_RNA from 1 species
CAUCAUUUAGUGAUUCAGUAUUUAAACUGAUUUAAAUGAGCAGAUUCGCAACAGUUAAUUUGUAGUUACAUAUAUUAUUAAACGGCAUAGUUGCGACUGUAAAUAAUGCGAUUGUGCUUCAGUAUUUAAUAUUUUAGCCAUGAAGGUUUAAUGUGAUUACUUUAAUUCGAUGGAAUUUCUACAUAGCUUAAAAUAAAUCCAAC